rnacentral:rRNA from 1 species
UUGGAGGGCAAGUCUGGUGCCAGCAGCCGCGGUAAUUCCAGCUCCAAUAGCGUAUAUUAAAGUUGUUGCAGUUAAAAAGCUCGUAGUUGAAUUUUAGGCCUGGCCGGGCGGUCCGUCUUUGGCGAGUACUGUUCUGUGUCGGGUUUUACCUUCUGGUAAACCGGCAUGUUCUUUUAUUGUGUGUGCCGUGGGAACCAGACCAUUACCUUGAAAAAAUUAGAGUGUUUAAAGCGGGCUUUUGCUUGAAUAGAUUAGCAUGGAAUAAUAAAAUAGGACGUUGGUUCUAUUUUGUUGGUCUAGGACCACCGUAAUGAUUAAUAGGGAUAGUUGGGGGCAUUAGUAUUCAAUUGUCAGAGGUGAAAUUCUUGGAUUUAUUGAAGACUAACUAUUGCGAAAGCAUUUGCCAAGGAUGUUUUCAUUAAUCAAGAACGAAAGUUAGGGGAUCGAAGACGAUCAGAUACCGUCGUAGUCUUAACCAUAAACUAUGCCGACUAGGGAUCGGACGAUGUUAAUUUUUUAAUGACUCGUUCGGCGCCUUACGGGAAAC